CAGAUUGAACGCUGGCGGCAGGCCUAACACAUGCAAGUCGAGCGGUAACAGAAAUAAAGCUUGCUUUCUUUGCUGACGAGCGGCGGACGGGUGAGUAAUGCCUGGGAAUAUACCCUGAUGUGGGGGAUAACUAUUGGAAACGAUAGCUAAUACCGCAUAAUCUCUUGUCUUUUACGAGAUGGGAGCAAAGAGGGGGACCUUCGGGCCUCUCGCGUCAGGAUUAGCCCAGGUGGGAUUAGCUAGUUGGUGGGGUAAUGGCUCACCAAGGCGACGAUCCCUAGCUGGUCUGAGAGGAUGAUCAGCCACACUGGAACUGAGACACGGUCCAGACUCCUACGGGAGGCAGCAGUGGGGAAUAUUGCACAAUGGGGGAAACCCUGAUGCAGCCAUGCCGCGUGUAUGAAGAAGGCCUUCGGGUUGUAAAGUACUUUCAGUGUGAGGAAGG
rnacentral:rRNA from 1 species